GGAAUAUUGGGCAAUGGGCGAAAGCCUGACCCAGCAACGCCGCGUGAAGGAUGACGGUCUUCGGAUUGUAAACUUCUUUGAUUGGGGAAGAACAAAAUGACCUACCCAAAGAACAAGUCACGGCUAACUACGUGCCAGCAGCCGCGGUAAUACGUAGGUGACAAGCGUUAUCCGGAUUUACUGGGCGUAAAGGGCGUGUAGGCGGCUUUGCAAGUCAGAAGUGAAAUUCUCGGGCUCAACCCGGGCGCUGCUUCUGAAACUGUAGAGCUUGAGUGCUGGAGGGGAUAGCGGAAUUCCUAGUGGAGCGGUAAAAUGCGUAGAUAUUAGGAAGAACACCGGUGGCGAAGGCGGCUAUCUGGACAGUAACUGACGCUGAGGCGCGAAAGCGUGGGGAGCAAACA
rnacentral:rRNA from 1 species